rnacentral:lncRNA from 1 species
AAAAUGCCCUGGGCCAAAACUCUCUGUGGGAAACAAGCUUCUAGAAUCACUAGGUUCUGACCAUUAUGGAAUAUUCUUCUACAACUGAGAAAGUGAAGCUGCUGAAUGCAGUCUUUCCCUUAUUGGCACAACAUCAAUCUAAAGUCGUAGAUCACUCUGGAAAGAAGUGCCCCAGAGCCCUGACUCUCUGAACUGCAGAAUACCUUCUGCUCUGACAGAUGGGGGCCUAACAAGCUGUUGUUGCCAUCAGUACAAUGCAAAUGUGAAUUCUCUUUACAGCUUUGAACAGUGUUCUUUUAUAGCACCAGAGGACUGGUCUUAGGCCCUCAGGAGCGCUACCAAAGGAGUAGAU